rnacentral:rRNA from 1 species
UCGGAUUACUGGGCGUAAGCGCACGCAGGCGGUCUGUCAAGUCGGAUGUGAAAUCCCCGGGCUCAACCUGGGAACUGCAUUCGAAACUGGCAGGCUGGAGUCUUGUAGAGGGGGGUAGAAUUCCAGGUGUAGCGGUGAAAUGCGUAGAGAUCUGGAGGAAUACCGGUGGCGAAGGCGGCCCCCUGGACAAAGACUGACGCUCAGGUGCGAAAGCGUGGGGAGCAAACAGGAUUAGAUACCCUGGUAGUCCACGCUGUAAACGAUGUCGACUUGGAGGUUGUUCCCUUGAGGAGUGGCUUCCGGAGCUAACGCGUUAAGUCGACCGCCUGGGGAGUACGGCCGCAAGGUUAGAAACUCAAAGGAAAUUGACGGGA